UACGUAGGGGGCUAGCGUUGUCCGGAUUUAUUGGGCGUAAAGAGCGUGUAGGCGGCCAUGUAGGUCCGGUGUGAAAACUCGAGGCUUAACCUCGAGAUGUCAUCGGAAACCAUUUGGCUAGAGUCCGGAAGAGGAGAGUGGAAUUCCUGGUGUAGCGGUGAAAUGCGCAGAUAUCAGGAAGAACACCAAUAGCGAAGGCAGCUCGCUGGGACGGUAUUGACGCUAAGGCGCGAAAGCGUGGGGAGCAAACAGG
rnacentral:rRNA from 1 species